AAGGAACACUUGCUGUGGUAUG
rnacentral:miRNA from 1 species